rnacentral:tRNA from 1 species
ACCUGGCUGGCUCAGUCAGUAGAGUGUGUGACUCCUGAUCUUAGGGUUAUGAGUUCAAACUCCAUGUUGGGUG